GUCUGGCAAGCUCAGUUGGCAGAGCGUUAGACUUUUAAUUUGAGGGUCCAGGGUUCAAGUCCCUGGUCAGAUG